rnacentral:rRNA from 1 species
CUCUUGAAGUGAGGAUUCGUCUGAACGGAUGAGAUGACUAGUGGCGGACGGGUGAGUAACGCGUGGGUAACCUGCCGUAUGCAGGGGGACAACAGUUGGAAACGACUGCUAAUACCGCAUAAGCGCACGGUUCUGCAUGGAACAGUGUGAAAAGAUUUAUCGGCAUACGAUGGACCCGCGUCUGAUUAGCUAGUUGGUGAGGUAACGGCCCACCAAGGCGACGAUCAGUAGCCGGCCUGAGAGGGUGAACGGCCACAUUGGGACUGAGACACGGCCCAAACUCCUACGGGAGGCAGCAGUGGGGAAUAUUGCACAAUGGGGGAAACCCUGAUGCAGCGACGCCGCGUGAGUGAAGAAGUAUUUCGGUAUGUAAAGCUCUAUCAGCAGGGAAGAAAAUGACGGUACCUGACUAAGAAGCCCCGGCUAACUACGUGCCAGCAGCCGC